AAAUGGAUGAAGGGAAGAGGGAGAUACAGGCUUCCAGUUGUGGAAUGAAUAUGUCACAGGAUUAAAAAGCACAGCAUAAAAAACAGGAAUAUAAUCAAUGAUAUUAU